CCUCACCGCCACCGCCGGCCCGGCCUGAAGACGCCCGGCUCAACCUGCGCUCGGCACCGCCUCUUCCGUGUUUGGAGGCGUCAGCUGAGUCGGGCGGAUCCGGCUGCGGCGCCCCGGCAACGGGACAGCUUUGCGCAGCCGCCGAGACCGCGCGGGCCCUCGGCCGCCCCCUGAAGGCCAAAGGCGGUUGUGCCUGGCCGAUCGCGGUCACCGCCCUCCGCGUCUCCCGUGGGCUGUCUCAGCUUUGUGCUCCCGGCGUGAAUAAAACAACUGCAACCACGAAAACCAUCUGCGAGGUCUAAAGUCAAGCUUUCCUGUGACCUGUGAGACCAGUUUUUGCAUCCGUGGUGUAGCCAAGGCAACACAAACACACAGAACAUGGAUAGAACAAUGUGCCUCCAAGAAUAUAAAUGUUAACAUAGGUAAAA